rnacentral:rRNA from 1 species
GUGGGGAAUAUUGGACAAUGGGCGAAAGCCUGAUCCAGCCAUGCCGCGUGUGUGAAGAAGGUCUUCGGAUUGUAAAGCACUUUAAGUUGGGAGGAAGGGCAGUAAGUUAAUACCUUGCUGUUUUGACGUUACCGACAGAAUAAGCACCGGCUAACUUCGUGCCAGCAGCCGCGGUAAUACGAAGGGUGCAAGCGUUAAUUGGAAUUACUGGGCGUAAAGCGCGCGUAGGUGGUUUUGUAAGUUGGAGGUGAAAUCCCCGGGCUCAACCUGGGAACUGCCUCCAAAACUGCAUGACUAGAGUACGGUAGAGGGUAGUGGAAUUUCCUGUGUAGCGGUGAAAUGCGUAGAUAUAGGAAGGAACACCAGUGGCGAAGGCGACUACCUGGACUGAUACUGACACUGAGGUGCGAAAGCGUGGGGAGCAAACAGGAUUAGAUACCCCGGUAGUCC